AGCGAACGCUGGCGGCAUGCCUAACACAUGCAAGUCGCACGGGGGGGCUUCGGCCUCCCAGUGGCGGACGGGUGAGGAACGCGUAGGGACCUGUCGAGGGGUGGGGGAUAACCGCGGGAAACUGCGGCUAAUACCGCAUGACGCCGCGGCGUGACAUCCGGGGCCAAAGGCGAAAGCCGCCCGCCGAGGGGCCUGCGUCCCAUUAGCGGGGUGGCGGGGUAGCGGCCCACCAAGGCGUUGAUCGGUAGCUGGUCUGAGAGGGUGAUUAGCCACACCGGGAGUGGGCAGCGGUCCGGAAUCCUACGGGAGGGAGGAGAGGGGGAUAUUGGAACACGGGGGGAAGGCUGAAGCAGGAAUGGCGGGUGGGUGAAGAAGGUCUUCGGGAUGGAAAGCCCUUUCGGCGGGGACGAUGGUGACGGUACCCGCAGAAGAAGCCCCGGCUAACUUCGUG
rnacentral:rRNA from 1 species